rnacentral:rRNA from 1 species
CAUGCAAGUCGAGCGGACAGAAGGGAGCUUGCUCCCGGAUGUUAGCGGCGGACGGGUGAGUAACACGUGGGUAACCUGCCUGUAAGACUGGGAUAACUCCGGGAAACCGGAGCUAAUACCGGAUAGUUCCUUGAACCGCAUGGUUCAAGGAUGAAAGACGGUUUCGGCUGUCACUUACAGAUGGACCCGCGGCGCAUUAGCUAGUUGGUGAGGUAACGGCUCACCAAGGCGACGAUGCGUAGCCGACCUGAGAGGGUGAUCGGCCACACUGGGACUGAGACACGGCCCAGACUCCUACGGGAGGCAGCAGUAGGGAAUCUUCCGCAAUGGACGAAAGUCUGACGGAGCAACGCCGCGUGAGUGAUGAAGGUUUUCGGAUCGUAAAGCUCUGUUGUUAGGGAAGAACAAGUGCAAGAGUAACUGCUUGCACCUUGACGGUACCUAACCAGAAAGCCACGGCUAACUACGUGCCAGCAGCCGCGGUAAUACGUAGGUGGCAAGCGUUGUCCGGAAUUAUUGGGCGUAAAGGGCUCGCAGGCGGUUUCUUAAGUCUGAUGUGAAAGCCCCCGGCUCAACCGGGGAGGGUCAUUGGAAACUGGGAAACUUGAGUGCAGAAGAGGAGAGUGGAAUUCCACGUGUAGCGGUGAAAUGCGUAGAGAUGUGGAGGAACACCAGUGGCGAAGGCGACUCUCUGGUCUGUAACUGACGCUGAGGAGCGAAAGCGUGGGGAGCGAACAGGAUUAGAUACCCUGGUAGUCCACGCCGUAAACGAUGAGUGCU